GAAUAAAAUGUAAUGAUGUUUAAAGCCAUUUAAGGCCUUAAUUUUCGCAAAAUCUAUUUAUUGACUUUUAAUGCCCCACGCAAACCCUGUUAAAAUAUCUGUUUUCUAUUUUCAUACAUUUCAUAGAUUUUGUGCUAAAGAAACAUUUCUAAGUGUUAUCAAUGUUGAAAACAGUUGUACUGCUUAAUAUUUUUGUGCAAACCUUGAUACAUUUUUUCAGGGUUCUUUGAUCAAUAACAUUUUUUAUUUUAUUAUGUCUUUACAUUCACUUUUGAUCAGCUCAAUUGCAUACUUGCUGAACAGAAGUAUUAAUUUCUUUAAAAAAAAAAAACUUUGACCCCAAACUUUUGAACAGUAGUGUAUGUAUUUUUUUCCAAAGGAAAAAAUAUUGCACAUGGGGUUGUCACCAUUAUGUUCUGUUCAUGGACUUUGUUUGUUGUCACUCCUGUCUCGUGUUCCCUGUUUCACAUUGCCGCCACUAAUCAGUCACCAAGGACACUAACGAUCUUAACAGCUGUCUGUCAUUUACCUUUGUGUAUUUAAGUUCCAGCCUGAGUUCAGUUCAUUGUCUGGUAUUGUCAAUGUUAUGUGUGUUUGCUGUCGCCUGUCUUGGAUUUAUAUUAAACUUUGUUGUACUGAACUUGAAUCUUCUACCUUCAUUUGAAUCCCUGACAGAAUACCAGACCAAAAAAAAAAAUGGAAUACGCAAGGAAGUGUGCGGCCAUGGCUUUUUUGUUUGUUUUGCCACAGAGUUUUUCCACCUCGCCGUCUCCUGCCCCUACGACAUCAAGACCCUGAAGUCACUGUUCUGGAUCAGGGCGAACUACCAUCACCCUGUGGACCUCCCAGACACCUCUGGACUGAGAUGGAGAGAGUCUAUCAUCCGGUGUCUGAAGAGCGUCGCGUCCUGGUCCAGAUAACAGCCAGACCCAGAGUCCGAAUCAUGAUUUCCUCCUUGCAGUGAUCUGCAUGAACUCUGUCAUCAUUACCGUUGCUCUAUCAACGCUGAUUUCACCAUUAUGUUCUGUUCAUGGACUUUCUGUUUGUUGUCACUCCUGUCUCAUGUUCCCUCUUCCACAUUGCUGCCACUCAUCAGUCACCAAGGACACUAACGAUCUUCACAGCUGUCUGUCAUUUACCUUUGUGUAUUUAAGUUCCAGCCUGAGUUCAGUUCAUUGUCCGGUAUUAUCAAUGUUACGUGUGUUUGCUGUUGCCUGUCUUGGAUUUAUAUUGAACUUGAAUCUUCUGCAUUCGUCUGAAUCCCUGCAAGUACGUGACCGGUUGGAACUACAUGAGGACCGAUACGUAGCCACAGGCUACCAAUGGCUUUAACCUUGGACUUCUGACUGUGAGGUACUCUAAAGAUAAAGAUUCACCACCUGCUGAAUGCAUUCGUUCACUGUGAGCUCUCCGGUCCUCAGAAUCAGCUCAGGAGCCUCUGGACUCUCAUACUCCGAAUCUAUACCGGUGAAGCCUGAGCGAGAAAUGAAGCAAGGAAAACAGGGGAAGAUGGGAA